AACGAACGCUGGCGGCAUGCCUAACACAUGCAAGUCGAACGAGACCUUCGGGUCUAGUGGCGCACGGGUGCGUAACGCGUGGGAAUCUGCCCUUGGGUUCGGAAUAACAGCGAGAAAUUGCUGCUAAUACCGGAUGAUGACGUAAGUCCAAAGAUUUAUCGCCCAAGGAUGAGCCCGCGUAGGAUUAGCUAGUUGGUGAGGUAAAGGCUCACCAAGGCGACGAUCCUUAGCUGGUCUGAGAGGAUGAUCAGCCACACUGGGACUGAGACACGGCCCAGACUCCUACGGGAGGCAGCAGUGGGGAAUAUUGGACAAUGGGCGGCAAGCCUGAUCCAGCAAUGCCGCGUGAGUGAUGAAGGCCUCGGUCGGUAAGAC
rnacentral:rRNA from 1 species